CCUGCUCCUUCUCAUACCCACUUUUCACAUCAUAGACAUGCACAAAGUCUGCUGGCUCUGCCAUCAUCAUAUACCGUCCAUCAGAAGUAUAACGAAUGGACCGAAUAGCUCCAAGAUUUCCCUUUAGAACAGCAACUGACUUGGAUAGGUUUCGAACAUCCCAAACCCGACAAGUUUUGUCCUGGUUCCCAGUAGCAAAGGUAACACCAUCAGGAUGCCAGGCUGAUGCAAACGAGAAAUCCAAGUGCCCAGAUAAAGCCCUCACAGUCUGCAACAAUAUCAUCCAGAUCAGUACACCUUCAAGUCCAGCAUCCAAGUGGAUAAAAAUCAAUGCAUGAUCAGUUAACAGAAUGAGAAGUAAUUACCUUUCCAGUCUGAGAAUCCACCAACAUCCCAUCUGGAUUGUCACCAACAAUCACAAGAAGUUUGCCAUUGGGACUCAAAGAAGUAUGCUACAGAAGAAGGCAAAAAAGUUCAAGGAACUUAGUACACUCAGUGUAGGGAGCAUUAGUGAACAACACUUAAGUAAAGUUCGGAGUAACUAGAACUUACUGACUACCACACUUACAUGGCCAAACAUAAAACUCCAUAAUUAAUAAACUUUAUGAAAAGAAAAAUAUACAGAAAAACCAACUUAAAUGCGAGCAAAAAUAAAUAAUAAUAAUUUAACAUCCAAAAAUGUUAAGCAACAGUAAAAGAAUGCGGGGAGCUCACAUUAACUGGCCAAGGAAAACGGAAAUGCUUAGAAAGCUGAAAUUUCUCCAUGUCGAAGUCCCUGACUCCACAAUCAUUAUUGGAUGCUGUAAAGUGAACUGCACCGCUGAAAUUCAGAUAUACAAUAUCAGUUAAGCUCAUGUUCAGAAAUACUAUUAACCCAAUCAAAUCUAGGAAGAGAGCAAGCACCUGGGACUGUCAUAAAUGUCAACAGCAUUCGUAAUGGCAUUUUCAUCGUAUGUUGUCCUUGAACAAAAGCUAACUCCAGGCCGAUCAAGAUGCUGCAUGCCAAUAAAAGAUUUUAUAUACUCAUCUGAGCGCAAUGCAUGACCAAAAGAGUAUACCAGAAGUAUGCAACUACUGAAUAAGCAUUCAUCCAUUCUUAGUUAUAUUGCUUUUCUAAUGCAAUGAAUAUAUUUUAGAAGUAAUUAUAUAACUAUUCUAUAGUUAUAUAUAAGUUAUUAGUAACUAACCUUACAAAUAAGUUCUCCCUGGAAUCCUCCAGCAACUAGCAAUUUGUCUUUUACUGCAAGAGUACUCACUUGAGUCUGUGUAAAUCCCUCCAAGAGACUCCCGGGAUGUUUCUACAUGGUGAUCAUAAAAGGAUCAAUUACCAGUGAAAUGAAACAUUGGCAAGUAAAAAACAGCCAUCUCAAGAACACUCACCUCUGAUGGUGCCACAUGUCCUGAAACAUUUAGAACCUCAGAUUUGCUGCAACUUAUCGAAGACCAAUGAAUGACAGAAAAAUGUGACAUAAGGUAGACAUCAUGCUUUGAAGUAGCCCAGACCAAGUUACGCAACUGCAUGGAGAAGUCAAUAAAAGAACAUUCAGUCAAACAAACCACAUCAGUAGGCACUAGAGUACCAGAAUGCAAGCAUACUUGUACUCAGCACACCUGAAAAUGAAGAAUAGUUGAUUUCACUGAUCUUGCGUUACGUCUAAACUCAUAAUAUGUAGAUCCCUUCUUAGUAAUGUCGCAAUCCUGUUACCAAAGAGAAGAAAAUCAUGAUCAAAUCACUCAUCCAAGCCAAAGUUGAUACUUCCACAUAACCAAAGAACUUGAUAGAUAAAUAAUAAUCAAUAGAAAAGUGGUAAAUGGUAUUUACCUUCCCAGACCCUUCUCCGGAAUUAGGAAUGUUUUCAUAAUUCUUGUAUUGUUCUAACCUAGUUUGCCGGUAUUUCUCUCUAGUAAUGCUAAGUCUAUCCCAAGGGAUGCCUUGGAUGUCUUUUCCUCUUCUUGCUUGAGCAGCAGUUGUAUCAGCUACUUUACUAUUCUGCACAAGAUCAACAGAAAUAUUUCUAAUUAGAUGACAUGUAACCACAAAAAAAACAAUAGACAUUCACCGCUCACACUAAAAUUGAAUAUGAACAUACAAAAGUUCUAGUAAGAUAUAUACAGCCAACUAUCUUAAAAGUGUCAUUCUCUAUACAUAUCAUGUUGAACAUAAUAGUAUAUUACUAACCGCGUAGUCAAAUUCAUCGACAUCAGACUCAGAGCCAGCCAGGUCUCUUCCACGAAAUUCGUCAUCCAUAUCAUCAUCUACAUCCUCCAUUUCAUAUUCGUCUUCCACGUAACCCGCGUAGUGGGACAUAUUCUUCCCAACAAUCAACAACUAGCACCAAACAAUAUUCAAACAAGUUACUUGACAAUCAGCACAGAAAGAAAUCUUAAACAUCAAACCAACUACAAACAGAAAGGUGUCAAAAGAUUUACUGGCUAAUAGCUAAACUUGAUGACAGCAUUACUCAUGUUGUGAGUUUGCUAAUCACUACCCGUAAGGUAAUCAGAAACAAGUUAACCGCAAUAAGUUCACCACAAAAAUCAUAAUUAUCUAAAUGCAAUUGACUGCAACACACAAGUCAAAAAUGGCACAGGAGUGCGGAAAUUCAAUAUACACCGACUAUUCUACAUUUUUGACUGCAACACACAAGUCAAAAAUGGCACAGGAGUAAGGAAAUUCAAUAUACAUUGACUAUUCUACAACAUGAAGUUUCUGCAAGCUACAAAGACAAGACAGUGAUAAAAACUUCUGCAUAAAUACACUCAUCGAGCACUAAAACAUGCAUCUCAUUCAUGAUCUACUUAGGGAACAAAACAACCACAAUGACACCUCCAAGUUACUUCAUCAUUCCAAAGAAUAAAACUCCGAUGGAAGCAACUCGACAAGCGCCCCAGCAUUUUCAUUCAUUUCCAUUUCUCCCCUCACCACACAUAUAAACCUUCUGACCUAAGCAAUCCUCUGCAAUUUCUCACCAGCACAUUAAACAUGCAAACACAAUUCACAGCUUCACCUGGUUACACCAACUCGUUUGCACACAAAUUUUCAACCAUUACAAUCAGAUAACCGAAACCCUAAUCCCAAAAAAAAAAAAAAAAAAAAAAAACCUAAAUCUCAAUUCCACAAUUGCACUCAGAAAUCAAAACAACAUUACCAAAAAUUAGAAAGAAAAAAAAACGAGGGAAAUCUCAAAAAUUAGGCAAAACGACGACGUUUCACAACCUACCCUCGCCGCCGAUCAAACUCACCGAGCAAAUCAAAACCGACCAAAAUUGAACCAAGCAAACCCCAAAAUCCAAAAUCAACCAAAUCCACAAUUCAAUCAUUACCGAAUUUCCAAAAUUGAAAAAGAGAAACAGCAGAUAGAACGAAAGAAUUCACCUUUUCAGCGGAAUUGAACAAGCAGCCGUUCGGAUCUGGAAAUAUCCGAAAUUGAAGAAAACCUAAUUGAGAUCCAGAAAGAGAGAGAGAGAAAAGAUAGAGAUGGAAGAUUUGGGGGAGAUUGAUUUAUCUAAUCAAAACCAGUGGAUUGUUUUCGUGCGAAUGAGAAAGGUGGAAGGGAACCAUACGAAAAGGACGUCUGCCUUUAUCGUUUCUCUAGCUGUAUAUAUAUAUAUAUACAAGUUCAUCUGUAUUGGAUUACGUAUGUUUUGUAUUCUUGUAUUUUCUUACAUUUUUCUUACAGUUGGUUAGAUUUUCUAUUUUGGGUCAUCUGUAGAUCAGCCUAGUUUCUUUCCUUAGCCCAUUUUGGGUCAAUGAGAACCCCAAAAUUUUCCUAUUUUCGUUGUCGGAAAAGGUUGGGUAUACGUCUUGCGCGAGUAAUAGAUUUAAGAAUUUUUUUUUAUGAAUGUCGUUUGAAGAGAUUCGCGGUCUUCUUUUGCUUUUGAGUUAUUUUAAGAAUAAGUAGUCUAACAAUUUGUUUCCACACGAUCAGGGAGAGAAAAAAAAAAAUAUAUAUAUAUAUAGAGUUCAACGCUUGUAUAUACACGUACGAGAUAUGUUACAAUGUGUGUUAUAAUGAGAAAGGUGGAAGAGAACCUUAAGAAAAUGAUGCCCGUCUUUUUUCUUAAUAGUUUCUCUGUGUAUAUAUAUGCAAUACAUCUGUAUUAGAUACGUAUCUCUUGUAUCUAUCUACAGUUUUUGCAUUUUUCUAUUUUAGGUCUUAUGUAGAUCUGCCCGGUUUCUUUUUUUUUACCCGUUUUGAGUCAAUGAGAACACCAAAAUUUUAUGUUUUCUUAGUCGGAAAAAUUGUGAAACAUGUUUUGUGAGAGUAUUAGAUUCAAGAAUUUUCUUUAUAAAUGUCGGAUGAAGAGAUUUACGAUCUUUUAACUUUUGACUUACUUGAAGAAUAAUAAGAAGUCCAACAAUUUGUUUUCACAUGACUACGGAAGAGAAAAAGAAAAAUGUAUAUGAUAGUGUUUAGCACUUAUAUAUACACGUACGACAUAUAUGUAUACAAUGUGUGCUAGAAUCUUCCGCUCCUUGACAUAUAGCGAGAGUUUUCAAUAGUUUAGGAGAGCUCAUCGAUUGAUGGUUAUGAAUACAUGAAUGAUUGACAAUGCCAUUCACCAGAAAUGUAAAGGAACAUAAAUAAUCAAUACUUUAUUGUUUGGUUUUGAAAUCAGACCAUUUUAGGUGUAUUUAUUCUGAUGAGAGGGACAUGUUGUCCUACAUAUCAACCACAGUUUGGUGACGAGUCGUAUCCGAUUAAUUCAAGAAAUCUAGCAACUUCCAACUUUUACAGAUUUUAACUAAUUUGUGCACCAAACGGAAUACAAGCUAAUAAUUUCCUAUGCGCGAGACUAGUGUGUACAAUCCACUAUCAUAAUCAAGAUGAAGGAAGCUAGUCUCACAUUCUCAGAGUCUCACUUGUCAAUUCUAUUUCGUUCCUCUUGAUUCUCAAAUUUGGAUGAUGAUUCCCCUCUACAUAUUGUUCUCUUCUUUUAAGAUUUGGGCCGGAAGUAAUCUGGCAACCGGAUUGGGAUAUAUGUGAAGAUCAAUCCUUCAAAACAAUCUGGCUUUUGCAACUAAUGAGAUAUCAAAUUCAGUAGUGUAAAUGCAUGGUCAACUUGGUCUCUGCUAGUAAAAUGUGACAUGCCAGUUCUCCACGAUGAGGGUAAGCCUGUGUCGUUGGAGCUGCAUCGGCCGCUAAUUAAAUAGGUAGAGCUACUACUUCAUUGGGUUUCGAGUAAUGCUAAAUGAACAAUUUUUUGGUAAACCACCUAAGAGCCCACCUUAAGUGGCAGCUGAUGUGGCUAUGCCAUAUCAUCGGAGCAUAAUUUAUAUUUCUAUAUUCUUGAUUAUUUUCUACUUAUUUGAUUUUAUAAUUUUAUCUUUUAAUUUAUAUUGUUUUCUUUCUUAUUUCUGCGCAAAGUCCAUUAGAAUUUGUUCGUCUUGCGAGCUCUUGGCAUCAAGCUGAGGCUGUGCAACAAUUCUCCAUCUCAUCCCUCCUCUCAACAUUAUCAGGCAGCUCUUGAUAGAGAAAGCAAGGAGGUUAAUUACACUGGUGAUAUCAUCUUCCUAGCGGUCCUUUAUAUCUGCAUCAUUCGACACCUUAUAGCUAUCAGUUUUAUUGAUCUCAUCAUCAUCCUCCUCCUUGAAGAAAUCGGCUUCAUCAUCGUAGUUCUCCUCUAUAUCAUUAUUACCGUUGGAAUCAUACACGGCAUCUCAUCUUUAGAAUUAAUCCAUAAGACCAGAUAAAUUAUAGAGAAAGCAAGAGGCUAUGAUACCCAGAUCUAUCUAUGUAUUAUAUAUAAACGUAGUAGAAGACUUGAAGUAGUGCUUCGUGAAGCAUCCUUAUAUAAGCACAUAGGGUUAGGUCAUUGUGGAGUUUAUAGCAAAUCAUGUAUCUUUAAUUGUUCACACACAUUCUCAAUCAUAUUCUCUUCGCAACGUUGACAAUAUUCGUUAUGAAAUCAUAACAUUUGGAUUAGGGUUUAGGGGGAAGAGAAUUUGAUUCAUAAAAAUGGUUCCGAUCAUUCAAAAAUAGCACGGGGGAGAAGAGAGAAAACUGAAAAGAUCGAUGUUUGUUCAAUUGAAGAGGAGAUGAGAGCUAUGGUGAGACUUAGAGAGGACGGAGGAGGAGGAGGAGAAGAGAGAAGAUGAAAAAAAACGACCGAUGAAGAAAACCCUAAAUAAAAUAGGAUUUAACAAAAAAAAAAAGUAAAUUCAAGAAAGUUAAAAGAAAAAAAAAGAAUUUAGGUAAUUAAGGAGAAUAUAAACAUUAAAACUAAAAAUUAUGAUUUGAUGAUAUGGUUAUACCACACCAGCUGCCACUUAAGGUGGGUUCUUAGGUGGUUUACCAAAAGGUGAUUCACCUAGCAUUACUCUUAGGUUUUAAGGUGUUGACAUAUGAACUUCAGGGCCACUCAAAACAAGCUUCAUCAUGAAAAUGGCUGAACCAACAUCUUACUUGCUAUCUUUGCUAGGAACUUACUUUGCAUGAAGCUAUGUAAAUUAUUAGAGAUCAGAAAAAUUAAAGUACCAAACCAAUGCUCUUGAACUAAAAUCUGAAAAGAUGAAACCUUGGUGAACUUGUAUAUAUGAUGGUCUUGAGCUAAGAAAUGGACACACCAGUUGCAAAAACUUGAAGAAGAAUUUGAUAUGCUAGUAUACUACUAUGCACGUAAACCAAUACAGAAGCCAAACAAGCUAGGCACAUAAUAUCUGGCUAAUACAUACUCAAACUCCAUUCUAGCAAUAGAAAAUGCUGCCUAACCAAAUUGUUACCACUAUUAAUUUCAAGGCUGCGUGCACCCCUUUAUUUUUCUUGAUAAGAAACUGGAACUACCAACACUAGGCAAGUGAUAAGUGUCCAUGAAUAACAGCUAUUCUUGUUCAAUAUGAAGAGCAUAUAGAGGAAGAAGAAGAAAAGAAGAAAAUUUGGGAAAGAAAAAGGGGAAGAAAGAAAGGAAGUUAAGUAGGGAGAAGAAAAUUUGGGAAUUCAAAGAAGAUCGGGAGUUUGGCAGAUUCUUUCUUGUUUCAGUUUUAUUGUGGUCUUGAUAGGUUUGAGGUGAGUGGCUAUUCUCCUUGUAAUUUAUGUGGUUAUAAUUCUCCUUGUUUAGUCUACCUUGCUAAAUUAAGAUCGAUGCUGGUGAGAUUCAAUUGUGAGGGAUUCCUUUGUUUUACAACUACACUCUUUUGUGAGAUUCAAUACCUAUUAUUUGGAGCUAAUUUGAGAGUUUUCUAUCUUCAUCUGAAUUGGUGUUUUUGAUUUCAUAUUUUUAUUGUGUUUACUUUGAUUGAUAACAGGGCAUUCUUAGUGUGAGAUUUUGUAUUUAAUUUAGUCUCUUAUUGGUUAGCGGAUUAGUAUUUAUGUUUUGGUUUACUCUUAUUGUUGCAACAUUGUUGGCAUAUACAAUCUGGGCACUUUUCUUGUCUCUCGGCUAAAAGGAAAGGAAGUUUGUCUCGACAGUUUAUUACUUUGCAAUUCAAUUUGACGCAGAGGCAUAUUCAUAGUUAGCUGACAGAUUGUAGGAAAAAAUGAAAUUUGUAGAUGAAUGUUGUAUUAUAAAGUAAUUAUAAACCCAGCACCGAUUACAUGAAUUUUGCCUUGUUCCCUAUCUAUUGAAUUCAAUUUCAUCCUCUUUUUGGUGUUUCUUCUAGUUUCAGAAAAGAGAGAACCCAGACCGAUCUAUAUGCGUUUAUAUGCUUCCAAAGCUCCACCUGUUGGCGCGAAAACUCUAAGGCUAGUUUUUUGUACCACAAGAUUGCAAUAUGUAAUAGAGAAAGGAAGAAAAAGAAAGCUUUGACUGCAAAACCUGUGCUACGGAAGAGAGUUCAAUCAUCAAUGGCGAGAAGACAUGAAUCAGAAGACAACGAUUUUGGCUAGAGAAGUGUGAGAUGAGAUCAUUAAGAGAGAGAGGGAGAUCGACUGAAGAGUCGGGUUCACGUUCCUAGCUAUUUGACCCACUUUGGGUUUUAAGAGACUUCAUCUAAGCCGUUGCUUUUCAUUUAAACCAAUGAAUGGCUGAUAGUGUUUCGUCCGCACUUUUAUAAAAGCACAUACAUGAGCUUUGGAACCAUCUUGUGUGUGUAUAAGGGCGUUUAGAGGCGGACGUUCGCACAUAGGUUAAAGUGUAGACGUCUCUCCGUUCUCCACCGGACCGCACUAUCGUCCUCCACCCGAGCGAACACCAGAGGCAUCCCCAAUCAUUUUCCCGUGCCAGCGAGAUCGAUUUGAAGGUCUUGGCAGCAACCUCCACCCAAAACUUGAGACAAGAUCGAUCUCGGCUGCAAACUGGUAUUCGGCGGACUCGCCGGCAAGAGAAAGUGAUUGGAGAUGCCUCUGGUGUCCACUCGGGUGGAAGAGCACCGUCGUUGGCUCCGGACGGUGGAGAACAGAGGGAUGUCCGCACUUUAAGGUAUGUGCGGAUGUGCGCUUCUAAACGGGGUUGUAUAUAUGUGUUUGUAUAUACACACACACACACACAGCCUUUCAAAAACGGACGUCUACGAACCAGAAAAAGUGCGGAUGUCUAUCCUCACAGCCGCAUCAAGCGUCAACGACGGUGCUGCUCUUGCUCGACGGAGACCACGAGCAUAUUGGACGGCUUUGGCACGAAGAUGGAGGCCUAGAUGAUCGUGGUUAAAGAUCUGGGUGGCCGGCGAGCCCUCCCUCACCAUCAACGUCAAAUGCAAACUCGAAGCAGACGAGUCCACAGGCAGAUCGAGGCUUGAGGUCCGUCAGGCAAUAGCAGCACAGUUGCCGGAGUCUAAUUCAAGCUAGAGGACCGACGAUGCCGGCGAAAUCUGCACUUUAAGGUUUUGCGGACGUCUGUUUCUAAUCGGGCCUAUAUAUAUAUAUAUCAUUCCUUUUUCCACACUAGAAGCUGAAAUCCAAUGAAAUUCUAUGUUCUCUUGAUGUAGCAAGAGAAUUCUCGUGAAUUUUACCUUCGACAUGCAUGAUGAUCUAGCACCUAUUAUUCACUGAGAAUUUCAAAUGAAAGAUAAACCCAAAUAAAACAAGUUAAACAUCAGUUAUUCACAUUUCACACAGUAGUGUUCACCUCACUGACCUGCAAGGAUAUCACUGGAUAAAGAAGUCCCACAAUUACAUCCAGCAGUAAUGAAAUUGAGCUUACAAAACGAACAAAAUCCGCAAUAUGAUACAAAUCGAUCACAUAAAUAUCAGGAUCCCUUAAGCAGCACACUUUAGGCGUCCAUACUCGAGAAGACUACCAUACGUACGAUCCCACACUCCAAUGAAAAGCGACUCCGUGUCUGGACUGAAUGAUAUACCAGAUAUCUCACCAAAGAAGUCGAUUUCCUGCUCCUUCUCAUACCCACUUUUCACAUCAUAGACAUGCACAAAGUCUGCUGGCUCUGCCAUCAUCAUAUACCGUCCAUCAGAAGUAUAACGAAUUGACCGAAUAGCUCCAAGAUUUCCCUUUAGAACAGCAACUGACUUGGAUAGGUUUCGAACAUCCCAAACCCGACAAGUUUUGUCCUGGUUCCCAGUAGCAAAGGUAACACCAUCAGGAUGCCAGGCUGAUGCAAACGAGAAAUCCAAGUGCCCAGAUAAAGACGUCACAGUCUGCAACAAUAUCAUUUAGAUCAGUACACCUUCAAGUCCAGGAUCCAAAUGGAUAAAAAAAAUCAAUGAAUAAUUAGUUUACAGAAUGAUAAGUAAUUACCUUUCCAGUCUGAGAAUCCACCAACAUCCCAUCCGGAUUGUCACCAACAAUCACAAGAAGUUUGCCAUUGGGACUCAAAGAAGUAUGCUACAGAAGAAGGCAAAAAAGUUCAAGGAGCUUAGUACACUCAGUGUAGGAAGCAUUUAGUGAACGACAGUUUAGUAAAGUUGGGAGUAGCUAGCACUUAGUGACUAGGUCACCACACUUACAAUGGCCAAACAUAAAACUCCAUAACUAACAAACUUU
rnacentral:lncRNA from 1 species